GAGGGUAUAGCUCAAGUGGUAAGAGUGCUAAGAGUGCAUCCUUAGCAAGCACAAGGUCCUGGGUUCAAUCCCCAGUACCUCCU
rnacentral:tRNA from 1 species